rnacentral:rRNA from 1 species
AACGCUGGCGGCGUGCCUAAUACAUGCAAGUCGAACGGUCUUUUCUAUGGAAGCUUGCUUCCACUGAAAAGAUAGUGGCGAACGGGUGAGUAACACGUGGGUAACCUGCCCAUAAGAGGGGGAUAACAUCCGGAAACGGGUGCUAAUACCGCAUAGUUUUCUUGAUCGCAUGAUCGGGAAAGGAAAGACGGCCUUUGUGCUGUCGCUUAUGGAUGGACCCGCGGCGUAUUAGUUAGUUGGUGAGGUAACGGCUCACCAAGACGAUGAUACGUAGCCGACCUGAGAGGGUGAUCGGCCACAUUGGGACUGAGACACGGCCCAAACUCCUACGGGAGGCAGCAGUAGGGAAUCUUCCGCAAUGGACGAAAGUCUGACGGAGCAACGCCGCGUGAGUGAAGAAAAGGUUUUCGGAUCGUAAAACUCUGUUGUCAGAGAAGAACAAGUUGGAGAGUAACUGCUCCAGCCUUGACGGUAUCUGACCAGAAAGCCACGGCUAACUACGUGCCAGCCGCAGC